CUCCAAAAUCCUACUGCAUCAAAAAAUGGCGGUUUUCUAAAAUCUUGCUCAGUCGCCCAUGCUCAAUGGGGUCUCAAGCAGUUCAAUUUUUCUGCGAAUUCAGAAGUUCAGCCUAUCAUAAUCACUUCCGCAGAUUCAUAGACGGCGGCGGCCGAACCAAUUACAAGGCGUGUCGGUGGCGGUUUUUUACCGGUGGCCGGAGGUGGAAUUGGGAGGGGAAUUCGAGACCUAACCGACGGUCCAGAUUCAGCGACGCUUAUUCAGCGGACGAGUUCGAUGAGGAGGAUGUGUUGGAGUUCAGGAACGCCGUGAAGCAGAGGGUUUGGUGGUCCGAUGAUGAUGAGGAGGAGGAGGAAGAUGGUUUUGGGAUUCUCGAAGCUUCGAUUGGAUUCGAUUGGGUGUUUAAGAUACUUCGAGCCUUUGGAUGGAUGGUUCCAGCAGUUGUGAUCUACUUUUUUAUGGGCAGGGGCCCUGAUUCUAUCCUCAUGGCACUUGCUCUUCCCCUGGCUCAGUCAGCGUUUUAUCUAGUUGCGGACAUGGUGUGGGGGAGGGCUGAUGAAACCCCAAGACGGAAGUCUAAGAGGAAGAAGAGGCCUUUCACUGGUAGUUCUAGAGCAAGAAGAGAAAAGGGAGGCCAAACCCGAAAUAGGAAGGAUGCUUACAAGUCAUGGUUCGAAGGCAAUAAUAACAAUGCAAAUGAGAGCAGGAAUCGUCAAGAUUUUGGAGGGUGGGACGAGCUAGAUACUCCAGUGAGAGCGGAGAAGGAUCCUCGUGUGGCGCCUAUUAAAAAGGAAGAGGAACCAGGAGUGAAUGAGUGAUUUAAGAUAACUAGGAGAACAAAGGGUAAAAGUCCACUGCUCGUGAGACUCUUAAUUUCAAAGUUCCUUUUUUUGGGAUUUUGGACCAAGUUAUUCUGAUCUCGAGUUUGCAUACAAAAUUGCCCCCAUUCUUUGACAAAUCAGCUUUCAAUUGCUAAGCUCGCUUGACUUCUAUACCGGUAAGGAUCCAGAACAAGGGUAGGCAUGGUGGAUCGACACUGCUCUUAAAGAUGCUGAAUUCUUGAACAUGCCUGGACCGGACCUACGCACCCUGCUGUCGACGCUCCCCUGUCGGAGUUUCCCCCGGUUCGAUCCUUGUCAUCUUGAAGUGUGGCAGAGUUUUUUCAUCUUCCUGGUCAUGGUAGAUGUAGGCUAAGCCACCAUGCCUGGUGACAUCCAUUCCGGCCAUUUCAUCAUCGGACGAAAUCCUCAGCAACCUCAGCUUGUGGAGCACC